rnacentral:rRNA from 1 species
AUGGGGGCCGCCUUCUUAACAGACGCCUCAAGCCACCUCCGGCUUCCCACACCGCUGCCGGGAACGGGGAAUAGCGCCAAGUACCCUAUGCGGAUCGCCAAGUUCGACUACGCGGCUAUGACCUCAGAUUUGGACCACAAGCGCCAAAUACCCCUUCGGAUACGCAAGUCCCUCGAAGGUCCACUGAUGCCUAGUACGACUCUAGGACCGGAACAAAGUACUACGAUGACCGUUGAUAUGUACCAUUACACCGCACCGAAACGCCAAGACCGUCCGGAUAUUGCCAAGUACCAUGACACCCAUGUUCCAUCAAGUUCGACUACAACGACUACAACAUGUACCACUACCGUUGCCGACAACCCGUGUACCAUAAGAAGCAAGUUCGACUACCGUCGCAUGAACCACUACUUCCACUACGACCCAUGA